UAUAUAGGACGUUUGUCUAAAAAUAAUGGUAUAAAUGUUAGCUUGUCAUUUAGAGUUUUUUUGAUAGUGCAUUGAGAUAUUCUAAAAUUGACUCAUGAUGGUCCACGUAACCCACCUUGUUUAAAAAUAGAAGUUUAUAAAAAAAAAGUAAGAUAAAAUUGCAAUGUGCACCAUUAACACUUGGCCAUGCAACCACUUUUGUUCCCACUUCUCGCAGUCAUGCUUAUUCCCCUCUCUUAUUGUCUUACACCACCACUGCAUACCACCAGGCCACCACUACUUGUUUGCUUUCUCACGAUCAACAACUAUAGUACAACAGAAGGGACGUCAACCCAGAACAUAGUAACAUCUUAAACGGGAGGCAGCCACCUAAGGACAAUAGCCCUCACUAAACGGGAGGUGGCGUUAAUGUCCAGAAUAUAAAAGUGCGCGGUGCCACCCGAGGACAUUAGCCCUCACUAAAUGGGAGGUGGUUAACCGACUGGGAGGUACAUGCACGACCCAGGAUAGCAUAAUACUGUCAAGAACCGUAUUUCACUUGAAUUUAUCAUGUUUCAUUUCUUUUAAGCAUAACAUAAUCAUAAUGAAUAAUUAUAUUAUUUCAUUUCAUCCAUAACAUCAUCAUCAUCAUCAUUUCAUAGCAUCAUAUCAUCAUAACCAUCAUAAAACAUUUCAUUUUCCGCAAUCCAUAUAUAAAAUAUAAUAUUAAUCAUGAUCAUAAAACAUACUUCAAAGGGAAAUGCUGGUAUUAGCAGUAGACGUUAUUACUUGAAUUUCUGCUUAACAACCUUGAUAGCCAGGGGAAGGCUUGUAAUAUCCUUUAUCUUUUUUUAUCUAUUCAAGAAUAAUUUUAUUAAUGAAUGUUUCAUUGUUUAGCUUUUAAGCCUAAAUAUUAGUUGGAGCUAUUUAUAGUCAUAGCGUUCAUUGUAUUGUCAUAAAGUUCUUAAUAAAGGUCAUUGUUAACCUAGUCGUUAAUACCGUCUUAAGGUGAUUCGUUAAUCAACUAAAUAGGUGAAAUAACUCCUUUAUUAGUUAUAUUUUUAGAAUUAUCGAAACAUUAUACUUACAAUUACAUUAAUACAUACUAUAUAACCAUUCACUAGUGGAGAAAACCUCUUUUGCUACAUUACAAGUGCUUCGGUUUUAUACAAAACGGAGCAUUUCACACGCAUAAAUUCAAAUAUUAAUAUAAAAGUGAACAAAUGCUCCGUUUAAACGGAGCACUUGAUAUGAUUCGCACUUUUUAACUGACCCCAGCCCAACUCUUUCUCACCUUUUUUCGAUUCUUUCACCCUUUUUCUCUGUCUCUCCUUGCUUUCUCUCUCCUUGUUCUCCCCCAUCACUCCGUAUCCAUCCAGAAGUUUCUUUCCUUAGAUUUUGUGAACCACCCCCCCCCCAAAUCCAAUCACUUAUUUCCUACAGACCACAAUGCGACCAUCCACCCCACCACCUUCUCUCUCCUCCCUAACUCGGACGCCUCCGAUGGCUACGUCGAGCACCGGCUUCGCGCUUCCAAGCUUGUUCGUCGUCAUUCCGACUCUUCUCUCCUUGAUCUUAUGGUCUCUCUCCCUCACUCCGUCACAAUCCGCCAACAACUGUUGCAUGUCCGUCACCACUAACGAUUCCUCUCCUUCACUGCCGCCCACCUCGCCAGCAACAUCUUUAUUCGGUAUAUUCUAUUAUUGCUGCUAGCAAUCUCGUUCUAACUAUACCAAGGGAAGUUAUGUGGACAAGAGGGUAGUAUCACAAUGAUACCAAAAGUAGGUCGCUCUCUAACUAGUGUAGAUUGUGAAGCAGGAAAGUAUGCGCCAUUAAUGAGCGUUGAUUGUCGGGUUUUGGAGCCAGUUGAAUACUUCUUUGGUUGUGAUUACUGGAAAUUGAAACCGUAUUUAUUGGGGCUAAAAAGGAGCGGUACUGAAAACUAACAGCUCGUAAGCAUGCUCAAAUUAUUCAGAAACUAGGAUUUCGUGCCUCAUUCAAGAAACAUCUGUCCGAAGAUGACCAAAGCAACGGCGACCACCGGGGAAUUCAUCGGCGCUUCCUCUCUCUUUGGUUUGAUAAAUUUUGCCUUCUUUAAGUACUGUUCUAUUGUAAUUAUGCGAAAAGAAUAACCAAAUUUUGUUCACCUAAAAAAAACUGAAUUUUGGUGCUGUAGAUUAGUUGAUUGAUUUGUGCGGGUAAUUGGAUUAGUUUUUAUGAAAAUUUUCUCCUCUUAAUCUACUAUGUUAUCCCUCACUAAUAAAAUAUAAGUUCAUAAACUUAAAAAUCAAAAUUACAACUUCGUGUUACUUGUAAAAUCUAACAUUGAACUCAUGGUGUGCCUUAAUUUAUUUUGAACUCUCAAUGAUACAUACAUUUUUCUAUGUUCUAAUUAGUUAUUACAUGAAGUAACCGGCCUAUUAUAUGAGUAAUGAAGUAAAAGAUUCAAAGUCAACCAUCAAUUUUUAUUUAUUUUUUAUUAUUAUCUUGUUCUGCUUAUUUGGUAUCCAUUUACAAGUUCAAUCUGCAAGUUUAAUCUUCAAACUCCUACAUAAUUAGUUUGAUAUUCUACUGAUUAGCCCUGGGUUAACCUGCCUUUUAUGCAUCUUAAUAUGACUUUACUGUCAUUGUUUCUAAAAUGGAAACUACAUAUGACUUAGUGGCUGCUGCUACUGCUAGCACGUAUGCUACUGGCUGGCAGUAGCUGUUGAAUUUUUUUAUUAUUCAAAAUUUACAAAUGCUUCGGUUGUUGAGGAAAACCGGAGCAUUCGCAACAUCAAAUGCUUCGAUUUUGCUUAAUAACCGAAGCAUUUGUUGAUUUUUACCCAUAUAAAAAAGCUCAAAUGCUCUGAUUUUAAGCACAACCGGAGCAUUUGAAAAUAUAAAUGCUUCGGUUUACAACCGGAGCAUUUGUGAAAUGCUCAAAUGCUCGUAUAAUGUCUGCUACGUGUAAACUACGGAGCAUUUGUGGGCUUUUUAACCGGAGCAUUUGAGAUUUCCACUAGUUACUCGAUUUGACAGAAGUAUAUAUUAUUAUUAUAAGAGUCCAUAGUUAAUCAUCAAUUAAUUGUUUAUUAUUAAUUAACUAAGUUUAUUGCUAUAAUAGAAUCGUUAACAUUAUUGUAAUAUUAUUUAAUCACAUAAAACUAAUAAAUCAAGCUAACUAGUUAUUAUAAGUAAACUUAAGUAUUAGUGAGGUAACAAUAACCUAUACUCUUAUUACAAAUAGCAAGCUUAUUGGAUUAGUUUAAAUUAACUCAAAUAAUAUAGUCAUAAGGAAUUAUAGCCCAAUAAUAGUUAUAUGAAUUAAGUUAGAUGAUUUAAUUAAACUAACUAAGUCAGUCCUUAAAUAAAAUCAUAACAAGUCCAAUUCAUCUUUUAGCCCAACACAUAACAACUCACAAUUACAACACCUAGCUUUAAUUCUAAGUUAAUGGUCCGAGGGCCAAAACAAACAUACUAAACAAGGUUAUUGAUGGGCUUGGGGUAAAAUAAACAUGAGAAAUAAAAACAAAACAAGGCAAGGGUAUACCACUGAUCUUAGAGUGAGCAGCAACGACACGAAGAGGGGGAACGAGGAGCUCUGGUGAAUUGCGGCGAACUCCGAGCAAGGUUGGUGGCUCACGAGGCUCCGGCGCGGCACAGAGGCGUAGAACGCUGCAGCACUCAGAGAAUGGGAGUGGCUGUCGAGGGGGUUGAGCGAGAGAAAUGACGUGUAAGUGCUGGCGUGGUUAGGUGUGAGUGGUGAAGCACAACAGCGAACGGAGACAGAGGUGGGUGGUAGUGCGGCAGCACCAUUGCGGUGCAUAGUAGAGAAACACGAGGCUUGCAUGGGGUUGAGCGAGAAAGAAGGGGAGUGUGAGGAAGAGAGAGAGAGAAAAGGAAUGAGAGAAGGUGGGUGUUGGUGGCGUGCGAGCGUCGAGGGGAGUAGGGGGAGAGCGACUAAGACGCUGCGCGAGGCUGGCGCCGCGCAGUGGUGGCAGAUGGUGGUGGUGGUGUGAGAAGCCCGAAACAGUGGGGAGAGAGAGAAAAAUGAGGGUUUUCUCUUUGGGGUUUCUUUGGGUCACGUUUUCUGGCGAGGUUCCAGUGAGUUUGUGACUGAAAUUGUGGUGUUUGAAAAGGUGGUUCUUAGGUGGUGGUGAGGUGAGAAAUGAGAUAAGGAAGUUUGUUGAUUAUUAUGUUUUUGGUGAGGGGUUUCAUUGGCCACUUAGGGCCUGUUCUCCCCAGCUUAUUUUCAGUUCAGUUCAGUUCAGUUCAGCUCCAAUCAGUUCUGUUCAAUUCAGUUCAGCUCAUCUCCAUUCUUUUAUAACCAUUUUGUUAAAUAUUAUUAUUAUGUUGGUAUAAUUUAUUUUACUAAUUACUAUUAUUAUUAUUAUUAUUAAUUUUUUUUAUUUUUAUUUAAAUUAUUAUCAUUAUUAUUUAAAUAUAUAUCAUUACUAUUAAGUAUUAUUAUUAUUGUUGUUGUUUCUAUAUAUUAUUUGUUGAUUAUAGCUUUACUCAUUAUUAUUACUAUUAUUAUUAGGAGGAACAUGGUUUAGGUCAAAUCACAAAUAAAACCACUUUUUUUAGCCCAUAAACCAAUCAAAUCGCGUCAAGACGGUUUAUGAUGUAAUUUUGGCGGUAUCAUUAUUUUUAUUACUAAAUAUUUUUAUAUUAUUAAAUCUAAUUAUUAAAAUAGUAAUAUUAAUUUACUUCUUAGAUAUUAUUGUUAUUAUAUAUCAUCAUCAAGUAUUAAUAUAUUAAUACAAAUAAUAUAAAAUUAAUUUAAUUCUUAGACAUUAUUGUUAUUAAAUAUCAUCAUCAAGUAUUAAUAUAUUAAUACAAAUAAUAUAAAAUAAUAAUUAUAAAUUAUCAUUAUUAUCAUUAAUUAUUAUUAUUAUUAAUUUAUGAUUAUUAAUAUUAUUUAUUUAUAACUAUCAUUUAAAAAUAUCCAAAAUACUAUUAUUAUUAUUCAUUAUUAUUACUUAUCAUUAUAAUUAUUAUUGUUUAAAAUAUUAUUUAUAUAUUUAUUACAUUCAAUUUAAUUCAAUUUAACUUAAUUCAAUUUAAUUCAAUUCAAUUCAGUUCAGUUCAGUUAAGUUAAAUAAGUUCAGUUCAGUUCAGUUCAGCUGUUUUAUGCUGAAGAGAACAGGCCCUUACAUCUUGUUUGGUAGAAAGGAUUUGGAAGGAAAAGAAAGGAAGUGGAAGGAAAUUUAUUAUUUCCAAUGUUUGGUUCAUUAAAAAGAAAUUAAGUGAAAGGAAAUGAAAGGAAUUGGAAGGAAAGACUCUUUAAUAAAAUUUCACUCUCCUUUCCUCCCAAAAGUGGGGGAAUUUGGAAAGAAAGAGAAAAUUUAUACCAAACAUGGGAAAUUAAGGUUUUUUUCAAUCUCUUCCAUUCUUUUCUUUUCUCUUCCCUCCCUUUCUCUUCUCUUCCUUUCCUUUACUAAAAAUGAACCAAACACAUUAUUAGAGUGGAAUUAAGAGAACCAAAUCAGUAGCUGGGAAGAAAAAAUUGGAGUAAAUAAUUCUGCAUUAUCGAGGAAGAAGAUGGAUUGGAUGGACAGUUUUGGGCGAGAAAAGAAUGGGGAAUGUUGGCAUGUUUGCCAAGUGCCAUGGAAGAGUUGGAAGAAGGUAGAAGUUAUGGGGUAGUUUACUUUGGGAGACUAUUAUUCUUUUUUCCUUUUUUUUUUUUAACAAAAACCAGAAAGUUGUUCUGAAUUUUUUACUUGAGGAAGGAGAUGGGUAGGAUGACAGAUUUUGGCAGAGGAAAAAUAAUGGAGGGUGUUAGCAUGUUUGCCAAGUGCCAUGAAAGAGUGAGGAAGAAGGCAAGAGUUAUGGAGUGUUUGACUUGGAAGACUUUUACUCUUUUCUUUUAUUUUGUAACCCAAGAUCAUGAAAUUUGCUCUACUCUUCAUCAACUUCACGUGGCUUUGUAGAACUUUAGGGAAAUUUGGAUAUCUUUGUGCUUUAGUGAUUUAACAACAAAACUAACAUUCUUGAUUAAUUCAUGAAAUCGUAAAAUAUAAAUUAUCAUCACUUAGUUAUCAACAUUUUUAAGUUGGUAAUUUAUGUUAAUUUUCUAUAUUUGUUUCAUUAUAUUUUGUUUAAUUAGUGAAACGAUAAAAUAAAAUAUAUUUUAACCACUUAUUAUAAUUAAUCAUUUACUUAAAUACGUUUAAGUUUUUAGGAUAUUACAUCCUUACCCCCGUAGAAAAAGUUUCGUCCUCGAAACUUACAUAUCAUUGUCAUAAGGAUAACAUCAUGCAUUCAUAAACUUGAACAUUCAUACAUAGGAUUUCAUAAUCACAUAUACACAUCAAAUUCAUCUAUUCAAACAAGUGAGGGUAUUUUGUUCUAAUCUGAUCCUCUACUUCCCAAGUGGCUUCUGAUGCUGGUGAUUAGCCCAUAAAAUCUUAACCAUAGGAAUCACUUUGUUUCUGAGUUGCUUUUCCCUACAAUCAAGAAUUUCAAUUGGUUUCUCUUCAUACGUCAAAUCCUUCCUUAAUUGCAAAGGGUCGUGCAGUGUCUGAUCACAUGGCUAGGGUCUGGUAUAUACUUCUACAACAUCGACACGUGGAAAACAUUAUGAACUUUAUCCAAGUCAGUCGGUAACGCCAAGCGAUAAGCUACUUCGAUGACUCGUUCCAGAAUCUUGUAUGGACCAAUGUAUCUCGGACUUAGCUUACCAGUUAGACCAAAUCUCAUAAUACCCUUUGUAGCUGAAAUUUUCAAGAAAAGAUGAUCACCUACUUAGAACUCCAAUGGUCUCCUUCGACGGUCUCGUAGCUCUUUUGUCGAUUCUGUGCAGCUUUCAUCCUGACUUGGAUUAAUCAUACUUUUUCCGUUGUUUCUUGUAUCAAGUCAGGUCCAAUCAUCCGUGCUUCAUCAAUGUCACUCCAACACAGGGGUGUUCUACAUCUUCUUCCAUAGAGUGCUUUAGAUGGUGCCAUCUGGAUGCUAGUUUGAUAGCUGUUGUUGUAAGAAAAUUCAACCAAUGACAUGUAUUUCUCCCAACUUCCUUGAAAAUCCAAAAUACAUGCUCUCAACAUAUUUUCAAGAGUCUGGAUGGUUUUUUCAGUUUGACCAUCAGUUGCUGAAUGGAAAUUUGUACUAAAAUCCAGUCUCGUACCAAGUGCCUUUUGCAAUGUUGUCCAAAUUUUCGCUUGGAAACUCGAGUCACGAUCUGACACAAUAGAACUUGGCACUCCAUGCAAUAUGACAAUUGUGCUCACAUAUAAUUCGACUAACUUAACCAAACUCCAUUUAUUUCUAAUGGCCAAUAAAUGUGCGGAUUUUGUUAAUCUAUCCACAAUGACCCAAAAAGAAUUCAUUCCUCGAAAUGACUGUGGCAAUCCCAUAAUAAAAUCCAUUGAAAUUGAAUCCCAUUUCCAUGUAAGUACAUCUAAUGGUUGCAACAAUCCUGCGGGUCUCUGAUGUUCGAUCUUUAUCCUUUGAGAAGCCAAACAUCUCGACACAAAUCCUGCAACUUCUUGCUUCAUAUUGCUCCACCAGAAUGUCUGGUAUAAAUGCUUGUACAACUUGUUCCUCCAGGGCGAACAGAGAAAGGACUAUUGUGAGCUUCUUCCAUAAUUCUCUUUUUCAAUCCUUCAUUAUUAGGAACACAUAUUCUUCUUUGAAAUCUCAACGUGCCAUCAUCUUGGAUCACAAAUCCCGGUGAUUUGUCUUUUGCAACUCCAAGUCUCCAUUUUACGCCUCUUUUAUUUCUUCCAACAAAGUCGGCCUCAACUCAAAUGCAUACAACUGUGCUUCUAUUUUCGGCUGCAUAAUCUCCACUUUCAUCUUUAUCAAAUCAUCAUUGAUUUCUUUCGGCAAGGUCAAGGUUGUGUUUAGGUAGGAUUUUCGGCUUAGAGCAUCAGCUAUAACAUUAGAUUUGCCAGGGUGAUAUAGGAUAUCAACAUCAUAAUCUUUGAUGAGUUCAAGCCAUCUACGUUCCCUCAGGUUCAAUUCUUUUUGGGUAAAAAUGUAUUUAAGGCUUUUGUGGUCGGUGAAGAUCUUACAUGGAACACCAUAGAGAUAGUAUUGUCUCCAUAUUUUGAGAGCAAACACAACUGCGGCUAGCUCAAGGUCAUGAGUUAGGUAGUUUUGUUCAUGAGGCUUGAGUUGACGGGAAGCAUGUGCUAUAACUUUAUCCUUCUGCAUCAACACACACCCUAAUCCAUGCUUAGAGGCAUCACUAUACAAAAAAAAAUUCAUCAGUGGCAGAAGGGAGAGUAAGAACAGGAGCAGUAGUCAGACACUUCUUCAACUCCUGAAAUGCUGCUUCACAUUCAUCACUCCAUACAAACUUAUCAAUGUGUGAUUUAAAUAAUCGGUUCAUCAGAUCCAUGAAAACAGCAGGGGCAUUGGUUAACCCAAAUGACAUUACUUGUAAAUUCACAACUGAAAGCAGUUUUUGAAAUAUCCUCUGGCUUAAUGUGGAAUUGAUGAUAUCCAGAUCUUAAAUCUAUCUUGGAGAAGAUGGUUGCACCUUGAAGUUGAUCGAAAAGAUCAUGAAUACGGGGCAAUGGCUAUUUAUUCUUGAUGGUGAUCUUUUUCAAUUCCCGAUAAUCAAUACAUAACCUCAUGCUUCCAUCUUUCUUCUUGACAAAUAGAACUAGUGCACCCCAUGGUGAUACACUAGGUCGAAUAUACCCCAUCUCGAGUAAUUCAUCUAGUUGCUUUUUAAAUUCUUGUAACUCAGCAGGUGCCAUUCGAUAAGGUGCCUUCGAAAUAGGAGCAGAUCUAGGGACAAGGUCAAUGCUGAAAUCUAUUUUUCUUUCUGGAGGCAUGCCGAAUAUCUCUUCCGAAAAUACAUCAGGGUACUCACAAAUUAUGGGAAUAUCGGACAACAAGGGUUCAGUUUUGGUUAGGUCUACCACAUUAUAGAGGUAUCCAUGAUGACCCUUUGAAAGUAACUUGAAGGCUUUCAAGAUUGAGAUGAUUUCAGGUUUGGGUUGGACUUUUCUUCUUCGAUAAGAAACCUUACACCCUAUCUAGUUUUCUGAAGGUUAUUUCAUGGUUAAGUCAAUUUAUGUCAGCUUUAUACUUUGAUAACCAAUUCAUUCCCAAUAUCACAUCAAAAUCGGGUAAUUCAAUUUGAACAAGGUCCACUUGAAAUUCAAAGCCUCAUAUAAGGAUAGGAUAAUUUCUAUACAUGGCGUUACAUAAGAUGGAUUCACCAUUAGGGAUGGUGACAAAAAUGGCAGAGAAUUCAGAGCAUGAUUUUCCAUUCAAUCUUCUAGAAAAUGCAGUAGAUAUAAACGAAUGGGAAGCUCCAGAAUCGAAAAGAACAUAAGCGGCAACAAAGUUGAUAGGAAAAGUACCAGUAAUGACAGUAUCAUCUGCUUCCGCUUCUUCACGCUGCAUCAUAAAGACUCUUCCAGUCUGCAGAGAGUCCAUGUGGAGGGUUCUUGUUUGCAUUGCUUGCGUUCCCACCAUAACUAGGGUUUUGACCAUUCCUUUAACCACGGUUAACGGCGUUUCCACUUUGCCAAUCAGGAAUCGGACAAUUCUUAAUCACAUGACCUGGUUCACCACACCUGUAACAUUGAUCACUUCCCUUACGAUAUUCAUUGGUCAUGUGGCCUUGUCUUCUGCAAUUGUUGCAUCAAGGAAUUUGCUUCUGAUUCUUUCCCGAAUAUCUCGUGUUUGAUUUUUUGUUGAAGUUGUUGCUGGAACGGCCAUCAUGAGACUUAACUUUUCUUUUUCCACCCUCAUACACAUCCUUACGCAACUUCACUUUCCUUUCAACAUUGAUAUCCCGGUCAUAUAACUCUUGAUAUGACUUACUCAUAUUUGCAUCAAGCCUUUCUUAAAUAUCCAGAUUCAAACCUCCUUCAAAUCAAUUCAUCCUUUGACGAUCCGUAGACACCAGAUCAGGAGCAAAUCGAGCUAACUCAUUGAAUUUCACAACAUAUUUCAUAACUGACAUACCCUUUUGCCUCAGAUGGAUAAACUCAGAUUCCAUCUGGAGCUGCAGAGACUGAGGGUAAAAUUGGUUUCUCAUAGCCUCCUUUAGGCCUUUCCAUCCAAAUCUAGGUUGAUUCUGCAUCUCUUUAGCAGUCUUCCACCACAGAUCAGCUUGCCCUUUUAAGUAGAACACAACAAAGUUAACUUUGCACUUGUCUGGGCACUAGGUGGCAUCAAAGAGUUUCUCCAUGCCAUUCAACCAUUCCUCGAACUCGGUAGGGUCUGGUUUUCCAUCAUAAGUAGGCGACUUAUGAGCAGAAAACCUUUUGAACAUAUUGAAGCAUUCUUCCUGCCCUGUCUUGGCCCUUGGUCGGUUUCCUGGUAAGAAUUCCAUCAUCAGCUUCAUUAUAUCCACCUGAUUUCCAUUAGCAUUUUCAGGCGUUUCUUCAUAAAUAGGGUUACUUUGCAAAGUAUCUAGCCUUGCCCUCAUUUCUUCAAGUGUGACUUCAGACCCAUGAUUUCUGUUUCCUCUAGUAGUUCCACUUUCACUUGUUGCCAUGUUAUAAAAUAUCACAUAUUCCAUGUGCAUAACAUGUUGAAGGAGGCAUAACUAUCAUCGUAAAAAAAAAACAUUCCCUUCCCCGAUCGUAACACUCACACUCAUUUUCAUUUUUAAGCACUUACUAACUACACGUUUAUUAUUCAUAUUAAAUUAUAUUAUAUAAAACUUGUAACUUAUGGUGAUGAUUAUGAUUUUACAAGAUUACUUUGCUAUUUUAUUUAUUUAUUUAUGUAAAACCUUUGGGGUCUUACUUGAGGUACCGAAAACCGUUACUCUGAUACCAACCUGUAACGCACCGACCUCUAAUCAUCGUUGUUUAGUUAAUUAAUCGGUUAUUAGCAGUGGAACCUAGAUAGUCGGCCCUUAUUUUUGUACUUUUCGUUAGGAAAAUACAAGGAAACAUAAACUCAUAAAUUUAAACAUUUUAUAACAUGAAAUGUAAUAUGGAUCUAACAUUAGUUUCGAUUAAUAAAAACUUAGUUACUAAUCAGAGUUUGACAUUCACUUAAAUUAAAACCAUGAGAGUCUACGUAAGUCUAAAUAUUAUAAUAAUCCUCACUGCCACGUCAUCCCGUUAUCACCACCGGUACCUAAAACAUAAAAAAAACGUCGUGAGCCGAGGCUCGGUAAUAUACUACUCUAACAUCGUAAAUUCAAAUCACAUCAUUUUAUUUAAAAACAGGGCGGAGACAAUAAGUAAAACUAUUUCACAAACAUAUCAUAUUAUGUUACAUUAUCUUCUCUAUCAUCAUCAUCUUGAUUCAUAUUAUUUGGUAACUUGGCUCGUACAACAAAAGAGACGUCUCCCUAGAACAUAGUAACAUCGUAAACGGGAGGCAGCCACCCGAGGAUAAAAGCCCUCACUAAACAGGAGGUGGCGUUAAUUCCCAUAUAGAAAUGCGCGAUGCCACCCGAGGAGAAUAACCCUCACUAAACAGGAGGUGGUUAACCGGCCGGGAUGUACGUGCACGAUCCAAGAUAACGGGAUACUUGUCGAGAACCGUCUUUCACUUGAAUUUAUCAUGUUUAAUUUCUUUUAAGCAUAUCAUCAUCAUCAUGAAUGAUUAUAUUCUUUUAUUUCAUCCAUAACAUCAUCAUCAUCAUUCCAUAGCAUCAUAUCAUCAUAACCAUCAUAAAACGUUUCAUCUCCCGCAAUCCAUAUAUAAAACAUAAUAUUAAUCAUGAUCAUAAAACAAAUUUCGAAGGGGAAUGCGGGUGUUAGCAGCGACGUUACCUAGAUUCCCGCUUAACAACCUUGAUAUCCGGAUGAGGCUUGUAAUAUUCUUUAUCUUCUUUAAUCUAUCCAAAAAUAAUUUUAUUAAUGAACGUUUCGUUAUUUAGCUUUUAAGCCUAAAUAUUAGCUAGCGCUUAUUAAGGUCAUAACGUUCAUUAUUUUGUCAAAAAGAUCUUGAUAAAGGUCAUUAUUAUCUUAGUCGUUAAUAACUUCUUAAGAUGACUCUUUAAUAACUAAUUAGGUGAAAGUAGUUCCUUUAGUUAUACUUUAGAAUUAUCGAAACAUUAAAGUUAUAUUAAUACAUAUUAUAUAACCAUUCGAAAGUAUAAUAUUAUUGUAAGAGUUCAUAGUUAAUCAUUUAUUAAUCGUCUAUUAAACUAAUCAAGUUCCUUACUAUACUAGAACCAUUAGCAUUAUUAUAAUAUUUUUUUAAUCACUUAAAACUAAUGAAUCAAGUUAUCUUGUUUUUAUAAGUGAACUUAAGUAUUAGUGAAGUAAUAAUAACUUAAACUCAAGUUACAAUUAACAAGCUUAUUGAGUCAGUUUUAAACACCUCAACUAGUUUUUAGAAAUCAAGUUAAGUGGUUUUGAUUAAACUAACUAAAGCAGUUCAUAAAACAAGUUCAAACAUCUUUUAACCCAACAACAUAACCAUUCAGAUUUAUAAACCCUUUAAGUUCAAAUUGUAGUACCCUAGGCCCAAACUAGUAAACUAACAAAAGAAAUUAAACAUGGGUUUGAUUAGAAAAGAAUUAGAAAAUCAUAAUUUCUUUAAAACAAAAAGGAAGAUGUCGUUACCUCUACUACUAGAGCAGGGACGACGAAGAUCGAGGAGGGAGGGUGAGGAGCUACGGCGAGCAGCGACGCACCGGUGGCGUGGGUUGGAGCGGGACUGGUGGCGCAGACGUCUCGGGCUGGUGCGGCGCUGUUGGGCACGAAGGAGGAGCGAGAAGGAUAGUGCCAUGAAGGAGAGAGAACGCAAGUGCGUGCAGGCGUGGCGUAGCUCCGAUGAGCGUGCAGGUAACCGGCGAGUGUCGCGCAGGUGACACCGGCUAUGUUGGCGUCCGCAAGAUGGUGGGGGCCGGUGGUGGUGUGAAAUCUGAAAUAGAGGAGAGAUAGAGAGAAGAUAAUGGGGUUUUCUUUUGGGGUUUGUUUGGGUCACAUUUUUCGGCGAAUUUGUGUUUGAAAAUAUGGUGUUUGAAAGGUGGUUCGUAGGUGGUGGUGAAGUGAGAGAUGAGAGGAUGAAGCUUGUUGUUCUUGGUGAGGUAUUUUCAUGGCCAUUUAUAGGGUAACUAGAAAUACUAAUUCAGUAGUUGGGAAGGAAGGAGUAAAUAUUUCUGAAUUUCUGACUUUAGGAAGGAGAUGGGUAGGAUGACAGAUUUUUGGCAGAGGAAAAAGAAUGCAGGGUGUUGGCAUGUUUGCCAAGCUAAGUGCCAUGGAAGAGUAAGGAAGAAGGCAAGAGUUAUGGAGUGUUUGACUUGGAAGACUUUUACUCUUUUCCUUUUAUUUUGUAACCAAAAAUCAGAAAAUUUGCUCUACUCUUCAUCAAUGUUCACGUGGCUUUGUAGAACUUUAGUGAAAUUUGGAUAUGUUUGUGCUUUAGUGAUUUAACAAGAAAAAUAACAUUCUUGAUUAAUUUAUGAAAUCGUAAAAUAUAAAUUAUCAUCACUUAGUUAUUAACAUUUUUAAGUUGGUAAUUUUAUGUUGAAAUUCUAUAUUCGUUUUACUAUAUUUUGCAUAAUUAGUGAAACGAUAAAAUAAAAUAUAUUUUAGCCACUUAUUAUAAUUUAUUAUUUACUUAAAAACACGUUUAAGUUUUUAGGAUAUUACACCAAUUCUGGCCAUGAUUAAUGCAAAUCAUUGAUUGGAUUGUAGGCUAAUAAAGAAAUAUUUCAUAUUUUUUUAAGGGUAAAUUUACACAAAUAUCAUAAAUAUAGCAAGUUUUCAUUGAUUUUCUAUUUAGUGUUUAUAAGAAGGCAUUUGGUCCAUUUUGUCCUUAUUGGCAAGAAAAAAAAAAGGUUAUUUUAUUCUGGAUAAAUAUAAAGUAGUCUAAUACUCCUUUUGAAUUUUUUUUAUCUUUCUCAUUUGAAAUCUUGACACUAUUCACGAUUAGAGAGAAUCUUUUAUAUUAUUCUGAAUAUAUAAGGCAAAAAAUAAAUUCAUGUGGGGUCUUAUUUGAUUUAUCUCAAUGAGUACUUUAAUAUUCAAUUGUUUUAAUUUUACUAAUAUAUAGUGAAAGAUAUCUAAUUCCGAUAAAGUGCAUUGACAAAUGCGCACAGUAAAAGUAGAAAAGAUAAAAAAAAAAAAAACACAAA